rnacentral:rRNA from 1 species
AGAACGAACGCUGGCGGCAUGCCUAACACAUGCAAGUCGAACGUGAUCCAGGCUUCGGCCUGGUGAAAGUGGCAGACGGGUGAGUAACGCGUGGGAACCUGCCCUGUGGUAGGGAAUAACCGUGGGAAACUGCGGCUAAUACCCUAUGAGUCCUUCGGGAGAAAGAUUUAUCGCCAUAGGAGGGGCCCGCGUCGGAUUAGGUAGUUGGUGGGGUAACGGCCUACCAAGCCUUCGAUCCGUAGCUGGUCUGAGAGGAUGAUCAGCCACACUGGGACUGAGAUACGGCCCAGACUCCUACGGGAGGCAGCAGUGGGGAAUAUUGGACAAUGGGGGGCAACCCUGAUCCAGCAAUGCCGCGUGGAUGAUGAAGGCCUUCGGGUUGUAAAGUCCUUUCGGCGGGGAAGAUGAUGACGGUACCGCAGAAGAAGCCCCGGCUAACUUCGCGCCAGCAGCCGC